rnacentral:rRNA from 2 species
CAAGUCGAACGAUGAACCACUUCGGUGGGGAUUAGUGGCGAACGGGUGAGUAACACGUGGGCAAUCUGCCCUGCACUCUGGGACAAGCCCUGGAAACGGGGUCUAAUACCGGAUACUGAUCCGCCUGGGCAUCCAGGCGGUUCGAAAGCUCCGGCGGUGCAGGAUGAGCCCGCGGCCUAUCAGCUUGUUGGUGAGGUAGUGGCUCACCAAGGCGACGACGGGUAGCCGGCCUGAGAGGGCGACCGGCCACACUGGGACUGAGACACGGCCCAGACUCCUACGGGAGGCAGCAGUGGGGAAUAUUGCACAAUGGGCGAAAGCCUGAUGCAGCGACGCCGCGUGAGGGAUGACGGCCUUCGGGUUGUAAACCUCUUUCAGCAGGGAAGAAGCGAAAGUGACGGUACCUGCAGAAGAAGCGCCGGCUAACUACGUGCCAGCAGCCG